GACAGAGGGUGCAAACGUUGUUCGGAAUUACUGGGCGUAAAGCGCGCGUAGGCGGCUUUGUAAGUUAGAGGUGAAAGCCCGGGGCUCAACCCCGGAACUGCCUUUAAGACUGCAUCGCUUGAAUCCAGGAGAGGUGAGUGGAAUUCCGAGUGUAGAGGUGAAAUUCGUAGAUAUUCGGAAGAACACCAGUGGCGAAGGCGGCUCACUGGCCUGGUAUUGACGCUGAGGUGCGAAAGCGUGGGGAGCAAACAGG
rnacentral:rRNA from 1 species